GUCGUCGUGGCCGAGUGGUUAAGGCGACAGACUUGAAAUCUGUUGGGCUCUGCCCGCACAGGUUAGAAUCCUGUCGGCGACG
rfam:Ciona savignyi cont_32687, whole genome shotgun sequence.